rnacentral:rRNA from 1 species
CUACGGGGGGCUCCAGUAAGGAAUAUUGGUCAAUGGACGAAAGUCUGAACCAGCCAUGCCGCGUGAAGGAUUAAGGUCCUCUGGAUUGUAAACUUCUUUUAUAUGGGACGAAAAAAGGUCUUUCUAGAUCACUUGACGGUACCAUAUGAAUAAGCACCGGCUAACUCCGUGCCAGCAGCUGCGGUAAUACGGAGGGUGCAAGCGUUAUCCGGAUUCACUGGGUUUAAAGGGUGCGUAGGCGGGCAGGUAAGUCAGUGAUGAAAUCCUGGAGCUCAACUCCAGAACUGCCAUUGAUACUAUCUGUCUUGAAUAUUGUGGAGGUAAGCGGAAUAUGUCAUGUAGCGGUGAAAUGCUUAGAUAUGACAUAGAACACCCAUUGCGAAGGCAGCUUACUACGCAUAUAUUGACGCUGAGGCACGAAAGCGUGGGGAUCAAACAGGAUUAGAUACCCGUGUAGUC